CUCCCUGUGGUGUAGUGGCUAUCACGUCGGGCUGUAAACCUGAAGGUCACCGGUUCAAUUCCGGUCGGGGAGA
rnacentral:tRNA from 2 species